rnacentral:rRNA from 1 species
AGUGAACGCUGGCGGUAGGCCUAACACAUGCAAGUCGAACGGCAGCACAGUAAGAGCUUGCUCUUACGGGUGGCGAGUGGCGGACGGGUGAGGAAUACAUCGGAAUCUACUUUUUCGUGGGGGAUAACGUAGGGAAACUUACGCUAAUACCGCAUACGACCUCCGGGUGAAAGCAGGGGAUCUUCGGACCUUGCGCGAUUGAAUGAGCCGAUGUCGGAUUAGCUAGUUGGCGGGGUAAAGGCCCACCAAGGCGACGAUCCGUAGCUGGUCUGAGAGGAUGAUCAGCCACACUGGAACUGAGACACGGGCCAGACUCCUACGGGAGGCAGCAGUGGGGAAUAUUGGACAAUGGGCGCAAGCCUGAUCCAGCCAUACCGCGUGGGUGAAGAAGGCCUUCGGGUUGUAAAGCCCUUUUGUUGGGAAAGAAAAGCAGCAGGUUAAUACCCCGCUGUUCUGACGGUACCCAAAGAAUAAGCACCGGCUAACUUCGUG